UCGUGAGUCGUCAUGGCUAGUCGCCAGGGCGACGAACUCCGUAGCGUUCAGGAAGAAUGGCGCGGAGUUUCACCAGAAAAAGGAA
rnacentral:ncRNA from 1 species